rnacentral:rRNA from 1 species
UGCCCUAGUAACGGCGAGUGAAGCGGCAACAGCUCAAAUUUGAAAUCUGGCUCUUUUAGGGUCCGAGUUGUAAUUUGCAGAGGGCGCUUUGGUGUUGGCAGCGGUCCAAGUUCUUUGGAACAGGACGUCACAGAGGGUGAGAAUCCCGUACGUGGUCGCUAUCCUUCACCGUGUAAAGCCCCUUCAAUGAGUCGAGUUGUUUGGGAAUGCAGCUCUAAAUGGGAGGUAAAUUUCUUCUAAAGCUAAAUAUUGGCCAGAGACCGAUAGCGCACAAGUAGAGUGAUCGAAAGAUGAAAAGCACUUUGGAAAGAGAGUCAAAUAGCACGUGAAAUUGUUGAAAGGGAAGCGCUUGCAGCCAGACUUGCCUGUAGUUGCUUAUCUAGACUUUUGUCUAGUGCACUCUUCUAUAGGCAGGCCAGCAUCAGUUUUGGCGGUUGGAUAAAGGUCUCUAUCACGUACCUCUCUUCGGGGAGGCCUUAUAGGGGAGACGUCAUGCAACCAGCUGGAACUGAGGUCCGCGCAUCUGCUAGGAUGCUGGCGUAAUGGCUGUAAGCGGCCCGUCUUGAAACACGGACCAAGGAGUCUAACAUCUAUGCGAGUGUUUGGGUGUCAAGCCCAUACGCGUAAUGAAAGUGAACGGAGGUGGGAACCUUUUAGGUGCACCAUCGACCGAUCCUGAUGUCUUCGGAAGGAUUUGAGUAAGAGCAUAGCUGUUGGGACCCGAAAGAUGGUGAACUAUGCUUGAAUAGGGUGAAGCCAGAGGAAACUCUGGUGGAGGCUCGCAGCGGUUCUGACGUGCAAAUCGAUCGUCAAAUUUGGGCAUAGGGGCGAAAGACUAAUCG